UAUUAGCAUUGAAUAUCUUGGAUAUUCAAUGAUAUUAGUAACGUACGUUCCGAAAGGUUAACUGACCGAACCAUGAAGACUGCCAUCUUGUAUUUUGCGAUAUUUUGCGCAUGUUCUGCAUUUAAAUUCAAAGUGCAGCCCGACAUGGCAAAAUCGUGGGCUGUGAUGGUAACUCCUUAUAUUAAGCAAUGUUCUGUUGAAGCUAAUGUGAGCGUAGAGGAAGGAUACGCCGGAAUUUUAAAUAUGAAUUAUCCGGACACCCACGAAUACUACUGUUUUGGCGAGUGCAUUUGGCGACGAUGGGGUUUCUACGAUCCAGAGACAAAAACAUUUAAUUAUCAGAAAAUCGAAGAGCAUAUAGCCGGAUUUUCGAAGAAGCUUACUAAACAAUGCGUCCAGAAAUACGAACAUAUUGAUGAUGACUGCGAAAUGGUGUUUUCUGUCAUAAAAUGUGGCUGUGAAAAGCUUUCUAAGCCACAUUAGUAACUAUAUCCUUACUGUUGGUACUUUAUAAUAGACCGCUCACCAUUUCAUUUUACUAGACCGGUUGUUAAUUUGGAAAUAUAGAAAUGCUUUUACA